rnacentral:lncRNA from 1 species
AGGCUCUUUGCUGCUUUCUUCUGCUCUCGGAAAAGCUGCCCCUCUAAUCACCAGAGUUGGCACAGGUUGGCUCGCUUCCUUGUCUCCCUACAGACAGUGCCUCUCCUCUCUCAAGGCCCAAAAUAGAGAAAGUCCUGCGUUAGUGUCAAACAGAAAACCUCUUCUCAGGGAAAGGUGGGAGGGCAGGGGAAGUUCAUGACAAAGUGGCCCUUUCCCAACCUCCGAGCCAGCUUUCUGUGUUAGAAGAAAAUGUGAGAAACUGGAGGGGAGGCAGAGGAAAUUUUUAUCAUCGGAUUUGUGCAAGCAGCAAAGAGGUUGUCUGAACCUGAAAACAAGGAGGAUCAAACAAGGAGGGAGUUGGUGAGUUGGCUUAGCAACCAGUACAAGCUCCGGGGGAUGGCGAGAGAAAGACUUGUUUCUUCAGGGAGACACCCUGCACCGUUAGGCACCUACUGCAUACAGCCCUGCCCUCUGGAGGAGGCUGGUGCCCUCCUGAGAUGGGUACCUGCAGGAAGCUGGAGGCCAGGCCGCCCCCGUCACUCUCCCAGCAGGUGGAGGCCCAUCCUGCCUGUCCUCAGAGAGGAGCAACUGCAGAGGAAUUUCCUCUGAUAAUACUCACAGAUUCUUAUACGGCAAGUUUUAAAAAAUUAAUUUUAUCGGUACAAUUUGCAGAUACAUAAUGAUCACAUUUAUCACAGCCGUUUGUCCCUGUACGUGAUAUAUCUUGAGUCUUCUUUUUUUCCCAUUCUCUUCCUCUCCCUUCAACCCUUCUCUCUUUAUUUACAAAUGCUUUGUUUCCAUUUUUUCCCUUUCAUUCUUUUUUUUCCUUUUCACUUCCCUUUCC